GACGAACGCUGGCGGCGUGCUUAACACAUGCAAGUCGAACGGAAAGGCCCUGCUUUUGUGGGGUGCUCGAGUGGCGAACGGGUGAGUAACACGUGAGUAACCUGCCCUUGACUUUGGGAUAACUUCAGGAAACUGGGGCUAAUACCGGAUAGGAGCUCCUGCUGCAUGGUGGGGGUUGGAAGGUUUCGGCGGUUGGGGAUGGACUCGCGGCUUAUCAGCUUGUUGGUGGGGUAGUGGCUUACCAAGGCUUUGACGGGUAGCCGGCCUGAGAGGGUGACCGGCCACAUUGGGACUGAGAUACGGCCCAGACUCCUACGGGAGGCAGCAGUGGGGAAUAUUGCACAAUGGGCGGAAGCCUGAUGCAGCAACGCCGCGUGCGGGAUGACGGCCUUCGGGUUGUAAACCGCUUUCGCCUGUGACGAAGCGUGAGUGACGGUAAUGGGCAAAGAAGCACCGGCUAACUACGUG
rnacentral:rRNA from 1 species